rnacentral:siRNA from 1 species
ACGACAUUCAACAUUUUCCCGC